CCAAUAGCGUAUAUUAAAGUUGUUGCAGUUAAAAAGCUCGUAGUUGAAUUUCGGGUUCAAUUUACUGGUCGUGCAAUCGUACGUACUGGUUUUAUUGAUUCUUCUCUUCUGAAGAACUAUGAUGUCAUUAAUUUGGUGUCAUAGGGAAUCAGGACUGUUACUUUGAAAAAAUUAGAGUGUUUAAAGCAGGCUCACGCUUGAAUACAUUAGCAUGGAAUAACGAAAUAGGACGUUUGAUUCUAUUUUGUUGGUUUCUAGGAUCGACGUAAUGAUUAAUAGGGAUAGUUGGGGGCAUUAGUAUUCAAUUGUCAGAGGUGAAAUUCUUGGAUUUAUUGAAGACUAACUACUGCGAAAGCAUUUGCCAAGGAUGUUUUCAUUAAUCAAGAACGAAAGUUAGGGGAUCGAAGACGAUCAGAUACCGUCGUAGUCUUAACCAUAAACUAUGCCGACUAGGGAUCGGAUGAUGUUAAAUUAAUGACUCAUUCGGCGCCUUACG
rnacentral:rRNA from 1 species